AUGUCGAAGCCGGAGCCUAGGACGAGCUCGCAUGACGGCUUGCUCGUUCCCAAACCAGAGUUGCCUCUGCUGGCGGUAUACAGAGGGCCUGUGGCUAGCAUGGCCGGUGACCCUGAAGACUUACCGGGGCUUCUCCUGGCGCUGCGCGAAUUGAUGAAAGGGCCACAACGCCACCCGGAUGACCGAGUUGACAAGUCAAGGUUGCGCGAGGCGGUCGUCACUUCGGUGGCUGGCGUCAUCAUUGACCUCAUGAGCGAGGAUGAUGACAAAUCCCUCGAUGUCGGCAAGGAGGAGGAGGACGACGACAACUCCCUCGACCUCGACAGCGGUUCCGACAUCGAUGAUGAUGAUUAG
rnacentral:rRNA from 1 species